AGGGGGGAGGCGGGCAGGGCAGAAAAAAACAUUAGAGCUGCCGAUGGCUUACUGGAGCCAAGAGUCAGGGAGAUCCAAAGGAGUCCCACUGUGAUGUUUUACAACCUGAAAGAUGGAAGAUUUUUCAAGCUUCAGACAGAAAGGGAACAAAAGUGUUUAUUACAUCUGAAGGAGAAAAACUGUUUUCUACCAGACCUUUAUACUUGUAUGAAUGUAUUGCUGAAAAAUUAAAGUGGGAAAAUACAAAUUAUUAA